CCGAACUCGACCAAGCUCUCUGUCGACGCCUGCACUCUGAUCCGUCCCUAUCAACGUCGCCCUUUCUUCUCACUCUCUCUACUCCACCUUUCUCUCUUCUUGCCCUGACUGGGCCUCUGCCAAUGAAGGGGAUAGGAAGAGAAAGGGGGGAGAGAGAGAGAGAGAGCUAGCAUGGAACAGCGUCUGAUAUCUGUCAAAACAGCGACCCCGUGCGCCGCUCCAAGCGUCUUUUCUCUCCCCGCUACGAAUCCCCCCCUCUCUUCCUCUCCCCUUCUCAUGCUGUCACAGCGUCUCCCCCUCUCCCUCUACCCUUCUUCUGUGCUGUGAAGGUGUGGCUCGCUCGAUUAGUGCUCAAACAUCCCACUCUAUUUUUCCUUUUGAUUUCUCUCGGGUCGUCAGUCAGCCAGUGAUCCAGAAACGUCGUACGGUGACGAAGCAUCAGACCAGCAACUAGGCUUCCACUUGUAAGGAGUCGUCCUUCAGCUAAGCAUUCAGAUGCAAAUUCUGGCGCUCAUUGAAAGUCAAGACAUGGAGGGUUUUUUGAGAGGCUCGGCUUCUACUCCACCAAACAACAUUGUUGAUCCUGCUGACCCACAAAAGCUCAUCUCCAAUCCCAAGUUCGAUUCUUGGUGUCGAUCCGAUCGCUAGUCAAAGGAUGGAUUACUGAAGAAACAACUCAAGCACUCGCAGCCCCCACUACCAAUGAUUCACAAGACUCAGGGUGGCCGGUUGACACUGGAGCUACAACUCAUAUGACAGGAGACAUAGGACAGGAGGACGGGCAGAAUAAUGGCCACGGGAACUGAACAAGGAGGUCUGUAUGAAGUACAAAAUCCAAACCAGCACAAAGCUUUCUUCUCAACUCGUUUCCGGCAGGUGACCGAAGACUCUUGGCAUGCGCGUCUGGGACAUCCUCAAUCUAGUGUUCUUUCUUUUCUCAAAAGCAAUAAAUAUGUUGAUGUUCUCUCUAACGAAUCCUUUCCAGUAUGUGCUAGUUGUCAAAUGGGAAAAUCUUGCAAAUUGUCAUUUAUUGAGAAAAACGAUAUUGUUUUUCAGCCACUGGAGAAAAUUCAC